rnacentral:rRNA from 1 species
UACAGAGGGUGCGAGCGUUGUCCGGAAUCACUGGGCGUAAAGGGCGCGUAGGCGGCUUGAUAAGCGUGCGGUGAAAGCCCGGGGCUCAACCCCGGGUCGGCCGUGCGAACUGUCGAGCUGGAGCACUGUAGAGGCAGGUGGAAUUCCGGGUGUAGCGGUGGAAUGCGUAGAGAUCCGGAGGAAGACCGGUGGCGAAGGCGGUCUGCUGGGCAGUUUCUGACACUGAGGCGCGACAGCGUGGGGAGCAAACAGG